UGAGGAAUAUUGGUCAAUGGGCGAAAGCCUGAACCAGCCAAGUCGCGUGAAGGAUGAAGGUUCUAUGGAUUGUAAACUUCUUUUGUCUGAGGGUAAAAAAGCGGACGUGUCCGUUCUUGCAAGUAUCAGACGAAUAAGCAUCGGCUAACUCCGUGCCAGCAGCCGCGGUAAUACGGAGGAUGCGAGCGUUAUCCGGAUUUAUUGGGUUUAAAGGGUGCGUAGGCGGGUUGCUAAGUCAGUGGUAAAAGCGUGUGGCUCAACCAUACCAAGCCAUUGAAACUGGCGAUCUUGAGUGUAAACGAGGUAGGCGGAAUGUGACGUGUAGCGGUGAAAUGCUUAGAUAUGUCACAGAACCCCGAUUGCGAAGGCAGCUUACCAGCAUACAACUGACGCUGAGGCACGAAAGCGUGGGUAUCAAACAGG
rnacentral:rRNA from 2 species